UUGACCUCGAAUCAGGUAGGAGUACCCGCUGAACUUAAGCAUA
rnacentral:rRNA from 1 species